ACAGGACAAACUGAACAGGCCUUUUUUCGGGAGCCGGGUCGCCCUGCGACAGUGGAUGCAACAUCUACGGGACAGU
rnacentral:ncRNA from 1 species